UCUGUUCUCUUUCCGCCAUGCUGACCCCAAACCAUAGAGCACUGGGUGGAAGGAAGCCCGUGGGAUCCUGCUCACAUCUUGGGGGAUGCACACCAGGGCCCCCCACGGUGCUCCCCCAGAGGACGCUAUGGGUUCCCACCUGGAGACUUUCCAGUGGGCUGUGGGCUGCCCUGCUCCAGCUUUGUCUUAUUCUGCCCACGUCCAAGCGCUGCUUCGAUGCCUCUGUUGCAUGUGUAGGUCCAGGACCUCACUCUGUGUCUUCAUGCAUUGCUCCGACCUCAGCCUUCCAACACAAAGCCCCAGGGAGGGCUCGGAGAUGGGAAGGGGUGAGAGAGUGCUUGUGGCACUUCCCCCACCCCGCAGCCUCACCACGUCGCUGCAGCAACCUCAGAUGUAUAUUUGUAAUGUUCUUUGUUCUUUGUAUGUUGGAUGGACACCUCUUCAAUAUUCUGUAAUGUAGCUUUGACUCGGUGCUGGACGCGACCAGAAAGCUCCAGCACUCCUCCAGAAACUGGCAAUGACACCAAUAAAAGAAUGAGCAUCAUUG
rnacentral:lncRNA from 7 species